AUUGAACGCUGGCGGCAGGCUUAACACAUGCAAGUCGAACGAUGAAGAUAUAGCUUGCUAUAUCGGAUUAGUGGCGGACGGGUGAGUAACACUUAGGAAUCUACCUUUUAGCGGGGGAUAGCUCGGGGAAACUCGAAUUAAUACCGCGUAAUUUCUACGGAAUAAAGAGGGCUUUUGGCUCUCACUAGAAGAUGAGCCUAAGUAAGAUUAGCUAGUUGGUGGGGUAAAAGCCUACCAAGGCGACGAUCUUUAGCUGGUCUGAGAGGAUGAUCAGCCACACUGGGACUGAGACACGGCCCAGACUCCUACGGGAGGCAGCAGUGGGGAAUAUUGGACAAUGGGGGCAACCCUGAUCCAGCCAUGCCGCGUGUGUGAAGAAGGCCUUUUGGUUGUAAAGCACUUUAAGCAGUGAAGAAGACCUAUUGGUUAAUACCCAAUAGCGAUGACAUUAACUGCAGAAUAAGCACCGGCUAACUCUGUGCCAGCAGCCGCGGUAAUACAGAGGGUGCAAGCGUUAAUCGGAAUUACUGGGCGUAAAGCGAGCGUAGGUGGUUAAAUAAGUCAGAUGUGAAAGCCCUGGGCUCAACCUAGGAACGGCAUCUGAAACUAUUUAACUAGAGUAGGUGAGAGGGAAGUAGAAUUUCAGGUGUAGCGGUGAAAUGCGUAGAGAUCUGAAGGAAUACCGAUGGCGAAGGCAGCUUCCUGGCAUCAUACUGACACUGAGGCUCGAAAGCGUGGGUAGCAAACAGG
rnacentral:rRNA from 1 species